rnacentral:rRNA from 1 species
AGUGAGCGCUGGCGGUAGGCCUAACACAUGCAAGUCGAACGGCAGCACAGUAAGAGCUUGCUCUUACGGGUGGCGAGUGGCGGACGGGUGAGGAAUACAUCGGAAUCUACUUUUUCGUGGGGGAUAACGUAGGGAAACUUACGCUAAUACCGCAUACGACCUACGGGUGAAAGCAGGGGAUCUUCGGACCUUGCGCGAUUGAAUGAGCCGAUGUCGGAUUAGCUAGUUGGCGGGGUAAAGGCCCACCAAGGCGACGAUCCGUAGCUGGUCUGAGAGGAUGAAUCAGCAACACGGGAACUGAGACACGGUCCAGACUCCUACGGGAGGCAGAAUGGGGGAAUAUGGAACAAGGGGCGCAAGCCUGAUCCAGCCAUACCGCGUGGGUGAAGAAGGCCUUCGGGUGGUAAAGCCCUUUUGUGGGGAAAGAAAAGCAGCAGGUUAAUACCCCGCUGUUCGGACGGUACCCAAAGAAUAAACACCGGCUAACUUCGG